CUAUUACUGACAGAGUUACAGGGACAAAUUUUCAGUGUUGAAAUUUGACAGUCAUGAGUUUCAAGAAUAAAACAAGGUUUGAUUUUUCUAAAUAUGACAAGAUCAGUUUUGCUCAUCUCACUAUACUAUGUCUAUGGCUGGGGCUCAGUGCAUACACAGCACAAGCACAAACAACAGCAGAAACAACUACAUCUAUACUGAAUAAUGCUCCAGCAAGUACAAUUCUGGAAUCAACAACUACAGAGGAUACAAGUUUGUACACAACACAACCUACACCACCAACAUCAGCAGAAACAACCACAUUGACAACAAACAGCACCCCAACAAGUACAAUUCAAGAGACAACCACUGCUACAUCUGAAGCAUCCACUACAACACCAACAGUAGAAUCUACCACCACAACUUUAUACACACCACAAGCUACAACAACCACAGCAGACACUACUGAAGUGACAACUACUGUUACCCCAACAUGCACAAUUCCAGAGACAACCACUGCUACAAAUGAAGCAUCCACUCAAACACCAACAACAGAAUUAA